UCAUUUUCAAAAGGCAUAUUAAGCAGCAGAGACCACAGGGGGGACCCGUGUAAACAGGCUUCCUCAGAUCCUGGCAGAAAAAGCUUGGAGAACGCAGUUGUCCCCAGGAGUUGUUGGCUGUUCCCUCUCUUCCACCCCCGCCUGCCUCCCUCCCUGCCCGGCAACUGAGUGUUUAAUGCCUGGGAACAGGGUUGCAGAUCCCAGCAAGGGAGCAUGGUGAAGAGGCUGCUUCGGGCUCCACGCUACAACUGCCUUCAGGAUCCAGUGCUUUCAGGCGGAGCUCUUCCCACUGGGAACCCAGGAUGCAGAGCAGAAAGUGCCAACAGGUGCACAGAGUCAAGGGUGACCUCAGAGCUUAAAGGUGCUGCCUGCCACGGCUGCUUGCUUGGAGCCACUGAGAAAUACAACACGUUUCACAGGAUGUCCAGCAUCCUCUCUGCGAUGGGGGGUCAAUUUACCCACCUCUCAUUCAAGGCUCAAUUUAUUGGAUGCUGUAGCAUAUCGGCCAGAACAGUGAGUGAAACAAGCCAUGGUUGCCUCAAGGAAAGGGAUCUAUGAGACUGAGCAUCUGAUUGAAGCAGCCAACAUUUGCAUGGGAUAUCCACUCAAAAGCACGAGUGACAGGCAAAGCAAACCUCUUCAGAUAAGGUGUCUGGAGAUACUUGCUCAAAGAAGAAUGGAUGGAGCCUGUCCCUCCCAGGAGAACAAUGGGCAAUAUUGUGGCCAAUGCUAAAAUGCAAAGCAUUCCAUAGAAGUGGGACUCUGGACAACUUGUGUUCACUGUGUGUAUGAGUUUGAGUGCUUCCCAACACUUAAUGGGUGUCCUGGUAGCAUCACCAGUGGAAGAAAUUAAUGCGAUUAUUUGGUAUCUAAUAAUCAAACCCAUCAGUCUUGUGAAAUGUCUGUGUGGCUGGUGAGCAUCUUCCUAGCGACCAAUGCAUCUCACUUCAAAAUUGUGCAUAGGUCAGAGACCUACUAGGAUGCAAGAUGGAGCCUCUGAGUUCACCUGAUGUCACCAGGUUCUGCAAGUUUGUUGCUGGGGCCUAGGUUUUCACUUGCUGAGUUCUGGUGUAACAUCAAAGCAGAAGGUCAACAGUGGUCUAGAAAGUUUCUUUCUAAAUCUCAAGAGACUUGGAAGGAGAGACAGAUAGACAAAUUCUGCUGUCUGCUACUGAUCCAGAUAAUUACAAAAGCAUUUAUAUUACCUUUCCUAUUUUUUCUAUUUUGAAAAGUAGUUGUUUUGAAUAAAAAAUAUGUAUGCUAACA